GGGUUGUGAGGUUAAGCGACUAAGCGUACACGGUGGAUGCCCUGGCAGUCAGAGGCGAUGAAGGACGUGCUAAUCUGCGAAAAGCGCCGGCGAGGUGAUAUGAACCUUUGACCCGGCGAUGUCCGAAUGGGGAAACCCAGUGUGUUCCGACACACUAUCGUUAACUGAAUACAUAGGUUAACGAGGCGAACCGGGGGAACUGAAACAUCUAAGUACCCCGAGGAAAAGAAAUCAACCGAGAUUCCCCCAGUAGCGGCGAGCGAACGGGGAGCAGCCCAGAGUCUGAAUCAGCUUGUGUGUUAGUGGAAGCGUCUGGAAAGUCGCACGGUACAGGGUGACAGUCCCGUACACGAAAGCACACAGGUUGUGAACUCGAAGAGUAGGGCGGGACACGUGGUAUCCUGUCUGAAUAUGGGGGGACCAUCCUCCAAGGCUAAAUACUCCUGACUGACCGAUAGUGAACCAGUACCGUGAGGGAAAGGCGAAAAGAACCCCGGCGAGGGGAGUGAAAAAGAACCUGAAACCGUGUACGUACAAGCAGUGGGAGCACCUUCGUGGUGUGACUGCGUACCUUUUGUAUAAUGGGUCAGCGACUUAUAUUCUGUAGCAAGGUUAACCGUAUAGGGGAGCCGAAGGGAAACCGAGUCUUAACUGGGCGUUAAGUUGCAGGGUAUAGACCCGAAACCCGGUGAUCUAGCCAUGGGCAGGUUGAAGGUUGGGUAACACUAACUGGAGGACCGAACCGACUAAUGUUGAAAAAUUAGCGGAUGACUUGUGGCUGGGGGUGAAAGGCCAAUCAAACCGGGAGAUAGCUGGUUCUCCCCGAAAGCUAUUUAGGUAGCGCCUCGUGAACUCAUCUUCGGGGGUAGAGCACUGUUUCGGCUAGGGGGCCAUCCCGGCUUACCAACCCGAUGCAAACUACGAAUACCGAAGAAUGUUAUCACGGGAGACACACGGCGGGUGCUAACGUCCGUCGUGAAGAGGGAAACAACCCAGACCGCCAGCUAAGGUCCCAAAGUCAUGGUUAAGUGGGAAACGAUGUGGGAAGGCACAGACAGCCAGGAUGUUGGCUUAGAAGCAGCCAUCAUUUAAAGAAAGCGUAAUAGCUCACUGGUCGAGUCGGCCUGCGCGGAAGAUGUAACGGGGCUAAACCAUGCACCGAAGCUGCGGCAGCGACGCUUAUGCGUUGUUGGGUAGGGGAGCGUUCUGUAAGCCGUUGAAGGUGUGCUGUGAGGCAUGCUGGAGGUAUCAGAAGUGCGAAUGCUGACAUAAGUAACGAUAAAGCGGGUGAAAAGCCCGCUCGCCGGAAGACCAAGGGUUCCUGUCCAACGUUAAUCGGGGCAGGGUGAGUCGACCCCUAAGGCGAGGCCGAAAGGCGUAGUCGAUGGGAAACAGGUUAAUAUUCCUGUACUUGGUGUUACUGCGAAGGGGGGACGGAGAAGGCUAUGUUAGCCGGGCGACGGUUGUCCCGGUUUAAGCAUGUAGGCGGAGGUUCCAGGUAAAUCCGGUACCUUUUAACGCUGAGGUGUGAUGACGAGGCACUACGGUGCUGAAGUAACAAAUGCCCUGCUUCCAGGAAAAGCCUCUAAGCAUCAGGUAACAUCAAAUCGUACCCCAAACCGACACAGGUGGUCAGGUAGAGAAUACCAAGGCGCUUGAGAGAACUCGGGUGAAGGAACUAGGCAAAAUGGUGCCGUAACUUCGGGAGAAGGCACGCUGAUAUGUAGGUGAAGCCCCUGCGGGUGGAGCUGAAAUCAGUCGAAGAUACCAGCUGGCUGCAACUGUUUAUUAAAAACACAGCACUGUGCAAACACGAAAGUGGACGUAUACGGUGUGACGCCUGCCCGGUGCCGGAAGGUUAAUUGAUGGGGUUAGCGGCAACGCGAAGCUCUUGAUCGAAGCCCCGGUAAACGGCGGCCGUAACUAUAACGGUCCUAAGGUAGCGAAAUUCCUUGUCGGGUAAGUUCCGACCUGCACGAAUGGCGUAAUGAUGGCCAGGCUGUCUCCACCCGAGACUCAGUGAAAUUGAACUCGCUGUGAAGAUGCAGUGUACCCGCGGCAAGACGGAAAGACCCCGUGAACCUUUACUAUAGCUUGACACUGAACACUGGUCCUUGAUGUGUAGGAUAGGUGGGAGGCUUUGAAGCGUGGACGCCAGUCUGCGUGGAGCCGUCCUUGAAAUACCACCCUUUAAUGGCUGGUGUUCUAACGUAGACCCGUGAUCCGGGUUGCGGACAGUGUCUGGUGGGUAGUUUGACUGGGGCGGUCUCCUCCCAAAGAGUAACGGAGGAGCACGAAGGUUAGCUAAUCCUGGUCGGACAUCAGGAGGUUAGUGCAAUGGCAUAAGCUAGCUUGACUGCGAGAGUGACGGCUCGAGCAGGUGCGAAAGCAGGUCAUAGUGAUCCGGUGGUUCUGAAUGGAAGGGCCAUCGCUCAACGGAUAAAAGGUACUCCGGGGAUAACAGGCUGAUACCGCCCAAGAGUUCAUAUCGACGGCGGUGUUUGGCACCUCGAUGUCGGCUCAUCACAUCCUGGGGCUGAAGUAGGUCCCAAGGGUAUGGCUGUUCGCCAUUUAAAGUGGUACGCGAGCUGGGUUUAGAACGUCGUGAGACAGUUCGGUCCCUAUCUGCCGUGGGCGCUGGAGAAUUGAGGGGGGCUGCUCCUAGUACGAGAGGACCGGAGUGGACGCAUCACUGGUGUUCGGGUUGUCAUGCCAAUGGCACUGCCCGGUAGCUAAAUGCGGAAAAGAUAAGUGCUGAAAGCAUCUAAGCACGAAACUUGCCCCGAGAUGAGUUCUCCCUGACCCUUUAAGGGUCCUGAAGGAACGUUGAAGACGACGACGUUGAUAGGUCGGGUGUGUAAGCGCAGCGAUGCGUUGAGCUAACCGAUACUAAUGAACCGUGAGGCUUAACCUUACAACGCCGAAGCUGUU
rnacentral:rRNA from 2 species